UGGGGAAUUUUGGACAAUGGGGGCAACCCUGAUCCAGCAAUGCCGCGUGAGUGAAGAAGGCCUUCGGGUUGUAAAGCUCUUUUGUCGGGGAAGAAACGGUAUGCCUUAAUACGGUGUGCUAAUGACGGUACCCGAAGAAUAAGCACCGGCUAACUAC
rnacentral:rRNA from 1 species